rnacentral:tRNA from 1 species
GAGGAGUUAGCUCAGUUGGUAGAGCAACGCCCUUUUAAGGCGUGGGUCCGGGGUUCGAGCCCCCGACUCCUCA